rnacentral:rRNA from 1 species
AUUGAACGCUGCGGCAGGCUUAACACAUGCAAGUCGACGGUAGCAGAGAAAGCUUCUUUCUGCUACGAGUGGCGGACGGGUGAGUAAUGCUUGGGAAUCUGUCUUAUGGAGGGGGAUAACGACGGGAAACUGUCGCUAAUACCGCGUAGGGUCGGGAGACGAAAGUGCGGGACCUUAUGGCCGCAUGCCAUGAGAUGAGCCCAAGUGUGAUUAGGUAGUUGGUGGGGUAAAGGCCUACCAAGCCGACGAUCGCUAGCUGGUCUGAGAGGAUGGCCAGCCACACCGGGACUGAGACACGGCCCGGACUCCUACGGGAGGCAGCAGUGGGGAAUAUUGCGCAAUGGGGGCAACCCUGACGCAGCCAUGCCGCGUGAAUGAAGAAGGCCUUCGGGUUGUAAAGUUCUUUCGGUGAUGAGGAAGGUUGGUGUGUUAAUAGCAUGCCAAAUUGACGUUAAAUACAGAAGAAGCACGGUAUCC